UGGACAUAUUAUUUCAUGCUGCAUUAAACGGAUGUUUCACUAUCUGGUCUGAGGAUAUGAUGACUCUUAGCCCAAGCUGCACCAUUUUGUAAACCCCCGCCAUUUUGCAAACCCAGGUCAGAGUGGAAAAUUCCCCUAGGGCUCAGGCUGUGAGAAACAUCCUGCCGGGUAAGUCCUAAGCCCAACCGCCUGAUCUCAGGAAAUUCCUCACUUAGCAACAGCUAACCACCCUGCCCACCCCACUUCACAACAAGCCCAGAUCUCUCCCACCUGGACCUAAACUUACCCAGUCUGUAAGCGGGGGCGGGCUCUGGCGCUAGUUGGUGUGCCCCUCCGCGAGUGUUUGUUCCGUAAACCUGUGUUGCUGUAGAGCCGCCUCCGUCCGUUUUUCCUCCCGUUCCCGCGCUAACAAUGACAUUAUACCAAAUGUAACUGGGAUGAAGAGUAAGACAAGGAAAUAAAAACCAUCAUGAAAAAACUACUUGAAGAGAAGAAAUGAAAAAAUCAUAUUGGGAAGAAAGAAGCG
ensembl:lincRNA